GCCUGCGGAGCGGAGGAAGACAAACAUAAAGAUGAAGUGCUUAAUUCAAGGUCACACAAUGUCGGGGAUGGACCUCCAGAUUUCCUUACUGACCUGCAUUAUCUUGUGGAUACCUGAGUGAAUUCCACACCACCCAUUUUAUAGAUGAAACCACUGAGACAUGGAGCAAUUGACUGAGUAGUCACUGCCCCACCCCUGCCUGGAGCCUCACACAUGACUCGCCUCCUCUCAGUGACCACAGAUGGAGUCUUGCUGUGUCACCAGGAUGGAGUGCAGUGGCGCAAUCUCGGCUCACUGCAACCUCUGCUUCCCGGGUUCAAGUGAUUCUCCUGCCUCAGCAACCCGAGUAGCUGGCACUACAGGAAAACAAGCUCAGGGCUCCCACUGAUUGUACAUUAUGGUGAGACGUGGUCUUGUAACACAGUGGUUAAGAAUGUGACUUUGGAGCCAGCCUGCUAGGGGCUGAAUUCUGACUCAGCCAUUUACUAACUGUGUGACCUUAGGGAGGAGGACCUGGUUGAUAGAAGAAU
rnacentral:lncRNA from 1 species